CCUACGGGUGGCAGCAGUGGGGAAUAUUGCGCAAUGGGCGAAAGCCUGACGCAGCGACGCCGCGUGAGGGAUGAAGGUCUUCGGAUCGUAAACCUCUGUCAGCAGGGAAGAACGGUCACUGUGCUAAUCAGCAGUGAAUUGACGGUACCUGCAAAGGAAGCACCGGCUAACUCCGUGCCAGCCGCCGCGGUAAUAAGUGGGGUGCGAGCGUUAAUCGGGAUUACUGGGCGUAAAGCGCUCGUAGGCGGUAGUUCCAGUCAUGGGGGAAAUCCCCGCGCUCAACGUGGGUACUGCCUUUGAAACUGGCAAACUGGAGUGUGUGAGAGGAUAGUGGAAUUCAAGGUGUAGGAGUGAAAUCCGGAGAUAUCGGGAGGAACAUCAGUGGCGAAGGCGACUAUCUGGCACAUAACUGACGCUGAGGAGCGAAAGCGUGGGUAGCAAACAGGAUUAGAUACCCGAGUAGUC
rnacentral:rRNA from 1 species